GAGGAGAGCAUAUAUUGACCUGCUAAGCCAACACCCCAGAAUUAAACAAACUGGCC
rnacentral:tRNA from 2 species